CUAUACAUGCAGUCGAGCGGACAGAUGGGAGCUUGCUCCCUGAAGUCAGCGGCGGACGGGUGAGUAACACGUGGGCAACCUGCCUGUAAGACUGGGAUAACUCCGGGAAACCGGGGCUAAUACCGGAUAAUUCUUUCCCUCACAUGAGGGAAAGCUGAAAGAUGGUUUCGGCUAUCACUUACAGAUGGGCCCGCGGCGCAUUAGCUAGUUGGUGAGGUAACGGCUCACCAAGGCGACGAUGCGUAGCCGACCUGAGAGGGUGAUCGGCCACACUGGGACUGAGACACGGCCCAGACUCCUACGGGAGGCAGCAGUAGGGAAUCUUCCGCAAUGGACGAAAGUCUGACGGAGCAACGCCGCGUGAGUGAUGAAGGUUUUCGGAUCGUAAAACUCUGUUGUCAGGGAAGAACAAGUAUCGGAGUAACUGCCGGUACCUUGACGGUACCUGACCAGAAAGCCACGGCUAACUACGUGCCAGCAGCCGCGGUAAUACGUAGGUGGCAAGCGUUGUCCGGAAUUAUUGGGCGUAAAGCGCGCGCAGGCGGUUCCUUAAGUCUGAUGUGAAAGCCCACGGCUCAACCGUGGAGGGUCAUUGGAAACUGGGGAACUUGAGUGCAGAAGAGGAGAGUGGAAUUCCACGUGUAGCGGUGAAAUGCGUAGAGAUGUGGAGGAACACCAGUGGCGAAGGCGACUCUCUGGUCUGUAACUGACGCUGAGGCGCGAAAGCGUGAGGAGCAAACAGGAUUAGAUACUCUGGUAGUCCACGCCGUAAACGAUGAGUGCUAAGUGUUAGAGGGUUUCCGCCCUUUAGUGCUGCA
rnacentral:rRNA from 1 species